rnacentral:rRNA from 1 species
AACGAACGCUGGCGGCAGGCCUCACACAUGCAAGUCGAGCGAUUAAAGCCCCUUCGGGGGUGUAUAGAGCGGCGAACGGGUGAGUAACAGGUGGAUAACCUGCCUCUCGGAGGGGGACAACGGCUGGAAACGGCCGCUAAUACCGCAUACGAUUGCCACGUCGCGGCGUGGCAAGGAAAGGGGCCCUUAAAAAGCCUCACCGAGAGAUGGGUCCGCCCCCCAUUAGCUAGUUGGCGGGAUAAUAGCCCACCAAGGCAACGAUGGGUAGCCGAGCUGAGAGGUUGAUCGGCCACACUGGAACUGAGAUACGGUCCAGACACCUACGGGUGGCUG